rnacentral:rRNA from 1 species
CAGUCAGAGGCGAUGAAGGACGUGCUAAUCUGCGAUAAGCGUCGGUAAGGUGAUAUGAACCGUUAUAACCGGCGAUUUCCGAAUGGGGAAACCCAGUGUGUUUCGACACACUAUCAUUAACUGAAUCCAUAGGUUAAUGAGGCGAACCGGGGGAACUGAAACAUCUAAGUACCCCGAGGAAAAGAAAUCAACCGAGAUUCCCCCAGUAGCGGCGAGCGAACGGGGAGCAGCCCAGAGCCUGAAUCAGUGUGUGUGUUAGUGGAAGCGUCUGG